AAAUGAGAAAUCAAGAGUAAGAAAUUGCAGGAUUAUUUUAUUUAUGUAUUUAUUUAUUUAUUUGCAUUCUUGAAUCAAAAGAGCAGGUGCACACAAAACCAGCAUUUGCAUAGACAUUCUGCCCCCCUCCCGGGAAGUAGUCUCUUUCUAGCACAAAUUGAUAAUAGAAAUGGUAAUUGACCAUUUGAUGGUUCUAAACAAGGAAAGAGACUCAUUUAUAUGGUGUAGGAUCCAGGGAAGCUUACAACUUUCAAAUUACCAAUUUAUAUAGUGCUUUAGUUUGGACACUAGAAAUUUUACUUGCAAAAGAUGGAUAGUCAUUUUUCUUUUAUUUUUGCCAAUAACAGGAAAUUAUCAUCACCCCUACUGUAAUCCCUACUCUGUAACACCCAUUUCCAUAGUCAUUGCUUAAAUUAAGAAUAAGAAGCACAUGCAUCAUAGAAUCUGUUACCAUUUCUAUUUCUGAUAUUAGCCAAUCAUGUUUAUAAGUGGAUUUGUUAGAGAUUAUAUUGUUGUGCAGUAUUGCAACCAGACACAUUAUUUUCUUGCUCAAAUAAAGAGUUAUAUGUUGCUGAUUGAUAAUGAAAUUAUGAAAUAUUUUCAUGUGCUGUAACAACAAACAGCCAGUCAUUUUCAAUCAAACAAUCUCCAUACAAACAUACAAAUAUCUCAAGCACUAAGCAAUGGUUUUUAGACAUCUUAGGUGAAAGAAUGCCUAAAGAAUUUCGCAUGUUAAGCAUCUCAACAAAAAAAAAAAA
rnacentral:misc_RNA from 1 species